rnacentral:rRNA from 1 species
AUUGAACGCUGGCGGCGUGCUUAACACAUGCAAGUCGAUCGGUAACGCGGGGGCAACCCUGGCGACGAGAGGCGGACGGGCGAGGAACGCUUGGGAAUCUGCCUAUCAGCGGGGGACAACCCGGGGAAACUCGGGCUAAUACCGCAUACGCUCUACGGAGGAAAGCCGGGGACCGCAAGGCCUGGCACUGAUAGAUGAGCCCAAGUCGGAUUAGCUAGUUGGCGGGGUAACGGCCCACCAAGGCGACGAUCCGUAGCUGGUCUGAGAGGACGAUCAGCCACACUGGAACUGAGACACGGUCCAGACUCCUACGGGAGGCAGCAGUGGGGAAUAUUGGACAAUGGGGGAAACCCUGAUCCAGCGACGCCGCGUGGGUGAAGAAGGCCUGCGGGUUGUAAAGCCCUUUAAGCGAGGAGGAGGCUCUUUUGGUUAAUACCCAGAAUGAGUGGACGUUACUCGCAGAAUAAGCACCGGCUAACUCUGUGCCAGCAGCCGCAGUAAUAC